rnacentral:rRNA from 1 species
CGUGCUUAACACAUGCAAGUCGAACGAUGAACUCUAGCUUGCUGGGGGGAUUAGUGGCGAACGGGUGAGUAACACGUGAGUAACCUGCCCUUAACUCUGGGAUAAGCCUGGGAAACUGGGUCUAAUACUGGAUAUUGACUUUACCUCGCAUGGGGUUUGGUUGAAAGAUUUAUUGGUUUUGGAUGGACUCGCGGCCUAUCAGCUUGUUGGUGAGGUAAUGGCUCACCAAGGCGACGACGGGUAGCCGGCCUGAGAGGGUGACCGGCCACACUGGGACUGAGACACGGCCCAGACUCCUACGGGAGGCAGCAGUGGGGAAUAUUGCACAAUGGGCGAAAGCCUGAUGCAGCGACGCCGCGUGAGGGAUGACGGCCUUCGGGUUGUAAACCUCUUUCAGUAGGGAACAAGGCCAGUGUUUAGUUGGUUGAGGGUACCUGCAGAAGAAGCGCCGGCUAACUACGUGCCAGCAGCCGCGGUAAUACGUAGGGCGCAAGCGUUAUCCGGAAUUAUUGGGCGUAAAGAGCUCGUAGGCGGUUUGUCGCGUCUGCCGUGAAAGUCCGGGGCUCAACUCCGGAUCUGCGGUGGGUACGGGCAGACUAGAGUGAUGUAGGGGAGACUGGAAUUCCUGGUGUAGCGGUGAAAUGCGCAGAUAUCAGGAGGAACACCGAUGGCGAAGGCAGGUCUCUGGGCAUUAACUGACGCUGAGGAGCGAAAGCAUGGGGAGCGAACAGGAUUAGAUACCCUGGUAGUCCAUGCCGUAAACGUUGGGCACUAGGUGUG